AUUAAUGGUGCAGCUCCGUGCUCGUGCAUCGAACUGUCGGCGCCUCAUCCGCUUCAGUCUUGCCCCGAGCGCAGCUCGUGGGUGCUUGAGGUAUCCUGUGUUGCUUACCCGGUGAAGGAAUCUGAUGGUUUUGGUGUCCCCAUCCGCCUUGCGCCCCUUUGGGGUGCGGGGUGGACGCGGGGUGGGCUCCGUGUUCCCCGUGUGUCGAGCGCGUUGACGCUCGGCCGCUGUGGCCCAUGGGGUCUCGCCCGUGCUCUCGGAUGCGGAAUGCUGUGUGUGGGCGUGGGGGUCUCGGCCUCUGCUCGUCCGAGCUGCACGCAUUGUCCCUUGACAUGAACGACCGUCGCGCCCGUCUUGAUCGGCCGACCGUACCCCCGUCGCGGGGCUCCGGGAGGGCGGCUCAUGCGGGCGUCGGCGUCGGAGAGGAAUGCUACCUGGUUGAUCCUGCCAGUAGUCUAGGCCCUU
rnacentral:misc_RNA from 1 species